rnacentral:SRP_RNA from 1 species
GUACGGGCUAGGGGGAGCGUUGACGUGUUCUACAAUUCACAAAUCGUUGAUAAUGGUGACCUGAAGUUCGAGGGCGGCGUAGACGAACCACUGAUGACUCAUCAGUUAACGACGAUGCUUCGCCCCCAAGAGAUCCAUGUUAGUGGAAAUUUCUUCCGAAGGGAAGUCAUUACCACUUUACACUUGGGAAACAGGUCAGGCGCGGAAGCGAGCAGCCCUACUGAGAAUAAUGGAUGCCUUGGGAUAGCGGAGCGGAGGAGAUUGAUGGCAAAUCAUCUAUGGUAACGUACGUCCACCGAGAACAUGCCCACCC